rnacentral:tRNA from 1 species
GCCAUCUUAGCUCAAUUGGUAGAGCAACAGUUUUGUAAACUGUAGGUUCCCGGUUCGAGCCCGGGAGAUGGCU